UCAUUGGUGGUUCAGUGCUAGAAUUCUUGUCUUCCAUGUGGAAGACCUGGGUUCAAUUCCCAGCCAAGGCA
rnacentral:tRNA from 1 species